rnacentral:tRNA from 1 species
GGGCCCGUAGCUCAGUGGUUAGAGCAGGCGACUCAUAAUCGCUCGGUCGUGGGUUCGAUCCCCGCCGGGCCCA